rnacentral:sRNA from 1 species
GACUUCGGGGCCAAGAUGGCGACGGGAACGGGCAAACACAAGCUGCUAAGUACUGGCCCCACAGAGCCAUGGUCCAUCCGAGAGAAGCUAUGUUUAGCAUCUUCUGUCAUGAGAAGUGGAGAUCAAAAUUGGGUAUCAGUUAGCAGAGCAAUCAAGCCCUUUGCAGAACCUGGCCGCCCUCCAGACUGGUUCUCUCAAAAACAUUGUGCUUCCCAGUACUCGGAACUUUUAGAGACCACUGAGACACCAAAACGGAAACGAGGUGAAAAGGGAGAAGUGGUGGAAACUGUUGAAGAUGUUAUUGUUCGGAAACUGACUGCUGAGCGAGUUGAAGAACUAAAGAAAGUGAUAAAGGAAACCCAGGAGAGAUAUAGACGGCUAAAGAGAGAUGCAGAACUAAUUCAAGCUGGACACAUGGACAGCAGACUGGAUGAGCUUUGCAAUGACAUUGCAAUGUGGGUUAUAUUAUAUUGUUCUUGUGUGCUUCUUUCUUUUUACCCUCUUUUCCCCUCAAGUAAUCUGGCUUAUUUCCUCCAACUGCCAUCCCUUUAGACUUG